rnacentral:rRNA from 1 species
UACGGGGGGAGCAAGCGUUGUUCGGAUUUACUGGGCGUAAAGGGCGCGUAGGCGGUCAGCACAAGUCAGUUGUGAAAUCUCCGGGCUUAACUCGGAAAGGUCAACUGAUACUGUGCGACUAGAGUGCGGAAGGGGCAACUGGAAUUCCUGGUGUAGCGGUGGAAUGCGCAGAUAUCAGGAGGAACACCGAUGGCGAAGGCAGGUCACUGGGCCGCAACUGACGUUGAGGAGCGAAAGCAUGGGGAGCGAACAGG